CCACGCAGUAAACGAUGAUUACUCAGAGUAUGCGAUAUACUGUAUGCUCUCAAGCGAAAGCGUUAAGUAAUCCACCUGGGGAGUACGUCGGCAACGAUGAAACUCAAAGGAAUUGACGGGGGCCCGCACAAGCGGAGGAACAUGUGGUUUAAUUCGAUGAUACGCGAGGAACCUUACCUGGGAUUGAAAUGUAUAUGUAGUUGACUGGAAACAGUUAAUGUUCUCUUCGGAGACAUAUAUGUAGGUGCUGCAUGGUUGU
rnacentral:rRNA from 1 species